AAAGUAGGCUAUCGCUCCUUCGGAGGACGUUGGUAUCAAAAGAGAGAAUGGUACUAUACAACUGCACACGUUAUGUUAUCAAAGGUAACCCAUAUUCAUGCCCCGCAGUGGAGGUAAACGUUGUUGCUUGUAUAAUGAUAGAUACAUGAAUGUAGUUUACCUCUGUAGAUGCAAUAAGAUCACAGACAGUCAGCAGUCAGCUGGCCUAAAAAGUAAUGGCAGUGCACAACAGUGGGGGCAGGCGCUAGGAGGUGCUGUACCCUAAAGGGGAGAGGCUGUGGAGGGGAAGGGGUGUCUGGGUCAGGAGGGUGUCACGGUCUCUCCCACCAGAUCCUAGCUGCCACUAGUUUCGUUCUCUGUCAGUCUUGUCUGUCCCUGUUUGUUGCUGUCUCAGUGUUUCAUGUGCCGGGGCGUGGUCUCCGCAUUCCAGCACAGUUCCCCGAUCCAGCCACGUUGAUCACCCGCACCUGACAGUCAUCUGCAAUCAGGAUCACCAGGAUAUCUACCCCAGCCUUCCAACCAUUCGUCGCCAGAUCGUCAGUUGUACUUAUCCUUCACCAUCACAACCAUACCACAACCCUGCUUUACUGCCGGAUUACCAUCUCCGUCGAAUCGUUGUGCGUGACUGUCGGUUCGCCUGCCAGCCGACCCAUCCAACCCCGAUUCGGACCCCCCGGCCCGUGGUUUCAGGAUUACCCCUAACGGACGCAACCUUCUGCACUAACCUUCAUCCACCGUGGACUAAAAAACUGUUCUACUGAUUCCGCUCUCGUCUGUGGUCCUUUGUGCCGUGCGUUUGGGUCCACCCUGUCUUGAGCCGUAACAGAGGGAACUAUAAGGCCUGUUGGAGGGCAGGGGUCUGCCGCCCGAUUCCU
ensembl:lncRNA